rnacentral:rRNA from 1 species
UACGAAGGGUGCAAGCGUUGCUCGGAAUUAUUGGGCGUAAAGGGUAGGUAGGUGGUGAUAUUUGUCUGAGGUGAAAUCCCCGAGCUUAACUUGGGAAGUGCCUUGGAAACGGUAUCACUAGAGUACUGGAGAGGUUCGUAGAAUUCUUGGUGUAGCGGUGAAAUGCGUAGAGAUCAAGAGGAAUAUCAGAGGCGAAGGCGACGAACUGGACAGUAACUGACACUCAACUACGAAAGCGUGGGUAGCAAACAGG